rnacentral:tRNA from 1 species
GGGGGUGGGCUGUAGUUCAGUGGUAGAGCAUCUGCUUGACACACAGAAGAUUCUAAUUCAAUCCUUAGCAUCUCCA